CUAGGCAUGGAUUUUGACAUUCCACUCUCAAAAUGUCGGGAGUUGACUUUUCUGGCCCCACAAUUGACUUUUCCCAAACUAUCUGAUUCCCGAUUCCAUUGAUCAAUUGAAGCACUUCUAGCUCAAAUAAAGAACUGAUUUUUUGUAUGUAGACCCUUGUGGACAUAUGGAGGUCCGUGGAAAAGAGUUUCACCCAAAGAAUCAGAAAUAAACUGAUUUUAUACCAAACCCUAGUUUUAGGGCAAAAUGAUCAGGAACUGAUUGCACUGAUUGCCAAUGGAUCUUUCUGAGAUGAUUGUGAAUCAAUUUUAUACCAAACCCUAGUUUUAGGGCAAAAUGAUCAGGAACUGAUUGCACUGAUUGCCAAUGGAUCUUUCUGAGAUGAUUGUGAAUCUUCCUAGGCCAAGAUGCCUCUCUAAUCAUGACAUGGAUUAGCUCCUCUACUUACAACCAAACAUUGCUUGUUGCAGGUAGCCAUGAAACCCUAAUUUCUGAUUAAAUC
rnacentral:lncRNA from 1 species